rnacentral:rRNA from 1 species
AACGCGAAGAACCUUACCUGGGCUCGAACGGCUUACGACAGGGGUGGAAACACCCUCUCCCCUUAAAAGGCGUGAGUCGAGGUGCUGCAUGGCUGUCGUCAGCUCGUGCCGUGAGGUGUUGGGUUAAGUCCCGCAACGAGCGCAACCCUUACUCAUAGUUGCUACCCGCAAGGGAGAACUCUAUGAGGACUGCUCCGGAUAACGGAGAGGAAGGUGGGGAUGAGGUCAAGUCAGCAUGGCCUUUAUGUCCAGGGCUACACACGUGUUACAAUGCGCACCACAAAGCGUCGCAAACCCGCGAGGGGGAGCUAAUCGGCAAAAAAGUGCGCUCAGUUCGGAUUGCAGUCUGCAACUCGACUGCAUGAAGCUGGAAUCGCUAGUAAUGGCGCAUCAGAACGGCGCCGUGAAUACGUUCCCGGGCCUUGUACACACCGCUACAGU